GAUGAACGCUGGCGGCGUGCCUAAUACAUGCAAGUCGAGCGAACGGACGAGAAGUUGCUUUUCUGAUGUUAGCGGCGGACGGGUGAGUAACACGUGGAUAACCUACCUAUAAGACUGGGAUAACUUCGGGAAACCGGAGCUAAUACCGGAUAAUAUUUUGAACCGCAUGGUUCAAAAGUGAAAGACGGUCUUGCUGUCACUUAUAGAUGGAUCCGCGCUGCAUUAGCUAGUUGGUAAGGUAACGGCUUACCAAGGCAACGAUGCAUAGCCGACCUGAGAGGGUGAUCGGCCACACUGGAACUGAGACACGGUCCAGACUCCUACGGGAGGCAGCAGUAGGGAAUCUUCCGCAAUGGGCGAAAGCCUGACGGAGCAACGCCGCGUGAGUGAUGAAGGUCUUCGGAUCGUAAAACUCUGUUAUUAGGGAAGAACAUAUGUGUAAGUAACUGUGCACAUCUUGACGGUACCUAAUCAGAAAGCCACGGCUAACUACGUG
rnacentral:rRNA from 1 species